GACGGUAGAAAACCUGCCUCCGUGUUUCAUUAGUACAGAAGAAGCUAAAUACGGCUCUGGAUAAACGCUGCAGAGCGGCGGGCGUGGAGCGCCAUGAGUCGCGCCGCGGCAGCGCGAGAGAGACACCUGUGGAGUUCAUGCAGAUGAGCGGUCCACUAGGUGGCUUGUGCCGGGCUGAGGGUAGAAGGUGGGUUUGUAGCGUAUUUCACGUGUGUGUAGAGCUAGAAUUGACCUGCCGGCUCUUCCGCUAUAGUUCAUAAAUACUAAACGGCGGGUCUUUUUAUUGUUGUGUUCAGUAAGAAAAGCCUUUGCUGAAGCGCAGUGUUUCCCACGCCUUUUCGUUCGGCCUACGACGCUACGGCGGCGAAUCGGAUCAAGAUUAAACUGGCGCUGACCGUUAUCUUCUCCUGACGAGCUCGGUGGAGCACAGCAAGCUCUCUUUCCAGCCCUGCAGGCAUUUUCUCACAGUCAUUAACACCGUAUUCAUCACCUAAGAAGAGUUUGUUGACCGAGCGAUUGAUAACGCUUUCUCAAGUUAGGCGUUUGUACUUCUUAAGAGUUCCCCGAUGUACUGCUACUGAUUUAAUGUCGGCUGUGCUAAAUAGCUAAACCUAGAUUGCUAAUGGCUAAUGAAACAAUUAGCUGUUAGCAGGGACAUGUGGUUAGAUAGCUCUAGCUAAAUGAGCAAAGCACGCAAAUACUUCAGGUAGGCUGAAGAUGCUAAAAACCGAAGGGGAGCACAACUUCUAAAGUGAAAUAUGUUUAACGGAGAGGACCCGACCGAAGGACGUCUCAUGAAGGGAUUGGUGGGUUAUGCAAUUCCUAUGUGCUUUGGAGGGUUCUUCAACCUCAUGCCUGGAAAUUGGUGUUCAAACGUGAGAAAUCAUUUUUUAAGAAAGAAGCUGCGUCUCCUGUAGAGAUACUAGUGGACUGAAAACUCUCCUCCGAGAUGGCCACUGUAGGUUUUGUAAUAAUGCCCCCAGUAUUUUUGAAUACCUGGUUCAAAGCUGAGGGAAUGAAUAUCCAAAGGCAGGGACAUGUCCUCACUCAGGGCCUUUGCUACCAUGUCCUUCAGGGAUGUUUCUGUGCCAGAUUCACCAGUUGUCUCUGAGGACUCUUUCCCUG